ACUGUCCUAAGCGUUGGGGUAGAGAAGGGAUCACCAGGCCGGACGCCUUUCUUGUCCCACUUGGGGCUUUCCUCUCUGAGUAAUAAUAAUAAUAAUAAUAAUACAUAUGAUAUUUAAGCACUGUUCUAAGCGCCGGGGUAGAUACAGGGUAAUCAGGUUGUCCCACGUGGGGCUCACAUUUUUUAAUCCCCAUUUUUGCAGAUGAGAUAACUGAGGCCCAGAGAAGAGAAGUGACUUGCCCAGGGUCACACAGCAGACAAGUGGGGCUCACAUUUUUUAAUCCCCAUUUUUGCAGAGGAGGUAACUGAGGCCCAGAGGAAGGGAAGUGACUUGCCCAGGGUCACACAGCCGACAAGUGGGGCUCACAUUUUUUAAUCCCCAUUUUUGCAGAGGAGAUAACUGAGGCCCAGAGGAAGGGAAGUGACUUGCCCAGGGUCACACAGCAGACAAGUGGGGCUCACAUUUUUUAAUCCCCAUUUUUGCAGAGGAGAUAACUGAGGCCCAGAGGAAGGGAAGUGACUUGCCCAGGGUCACACAGCAGACAAGUGGCGGAGCCGGGAUUAGAACCCACGCCCUCUGCCUCCCAAGCCCAGACUCUUUCCACUAAGCCACGCUGCUUCUCUAUAGAAGGAGUAGGAGGGAGGAGGAUUGAAUCCCCAUUUUCCAGUUGAUGAGGCUGAUAAGGAUGAUGAUCGCGAUGAUCCCAGGCGAGAGGCAGGGAUUUCUUUCCCUGUAGAUCUGCCAUGGGAAACUUUUGCAGACUCUCUUGAGUAGCCGAGGGGGAGAGGGGGACAAGUGCGGAAUUCCCCAGGGAACACCGGUUGAGGCUGGAGCUUCCAAUCCUGAGAUUUUCCUGAGCAAUUCCAACCUCGCUGACACGCCAUCUGCUGCUUCUAGACUACCGAAUGAGCAGAUCCUUAUCGCGGAACUGUGAGUUGUCCUCAGCCGAGUUAGCCGAACAAUGUGUUCAGUGGUAAAUAGAAAGGUGAGCUACUCUUAGCC
rnacentral:lncRNA from 1 species